GUCUAGUGAAAGUAAAAAGAAGAAAAACAGAGCUAAGCCAAGGAAAUGAUUUCUUUCCCACCUACAAUGCAUGAAAAGAAAUUAACAUGAAAAGGGUCUGAGGAAGACAUUAAUAUUUUGAUAGUGGCAGAAGAAUGUUAUUUACAAAAAUAAUGACAAAUGUUGAAGAGAAAAUACAGGCUUCCUAGCAACUAGACCAAAGAUAAGAUGCUGUUGAAUUCAAGAUAGACAUUUGGAAUAUACAGUUAGCUGUCAUUUGAACACAGGCCCAUGGCACAAGUUCAGAAACGUAAAGUUACAGAGAAAAUAAAGACCCCCAGAGCAAAAUCACCACAGUCUCCAUGGAAAUCAAUUGGUUCAUUCUUCGUCUUAAGAGUCCAGCAUUCACUCAACAAACAUCUUAUGCUGCCAGGUUUCUCUAAUGCAGCAGGUACGGUCACUAGGAAGAUUACAAACUUGGGUUAAAAAACCUAGAUCACGUUCAAGAUGUUGCAGCUGAGCAGUUACAAUCCAAGAGACUAGGCCCAGACAGAAGGAUAUGCCACAGCAGGAGACAGGAUCCAGAAUGAGAAUAGACAAAAGACAUUUUCAAAAGUCCAGGUUCACAGCUUGACAGAAGCCUUCACACAGAAAGAGCCAUUGCACAUUGGACAGAUGAUCCCAGAAUGGAAGUUUCCAGAGGAAAUAACAGUCAAUAAACAGGAGUCACGGCGGGAAGUACAGCAUCACGCAGACAGACUGGUUGCUGGAGAAGCCAAGAAUUCGACAUCUUGAUCCAAAGGCAGCCAU
rnacentral:lncRNA from 1 species